GAACCGACUAAUGUUGAAAAAUUAGCGGAUGACCUGUGGCUGGGGGUGAAAGGCCAAUCAAACCGGGAGAUAGCUGGUUCUCCCCGAAAGCUAUUUAGGUAGCGCCUCGUGAAUUCAUCUCCGGGGGUAGAGCACUGUUUCGGCUAGGGGGCCAUCCCGGCUUACCAACCCGAUGCAAACUGCGAAUACCGGAGAAUGUUAUCACGGGAGACACACGGCGGGUGCUAACGUCCGUCGUGAAGAGGGAAACAACCCAGACCGCCAGCUAAGGUCCCAAAGUCAUGGUUAAGUGGGAAACGAUGUGGGAAGGCCCAGACAGCCAGGAUGUUGGCUUAGAAGCAGCCAUCAUUUAAAGAAAGCGUAAUAGCUCACUGGUCGAGUCGGCCUGCGCGGAAGAUGUAACGGGGCUAAACCAUGCACCGAAGCUGCGGCAGCGACACUCAGGUGUUGUUGGGUAGGGGAGCGUUCUGUAAGCCUGUGAAGGUGUGUCGUGAGGC
rnacentral:rRNA from 1 species